GGCAAACGGGUGCGGAACACGUACGCAAUCUACCUCUGUCUGGAGGAAUAGCCCGGAGAAAUCCGGAUUAACACCCCAUAAGAUAUUGGAGUGGCAUCACUCAGAUAUUAAAACUCCGGUGGACGGAGAUGAGCGUGCGUCCCAUUAGCUAGUUGGUAGGGUAACGGCCUACCAAGGCAACGAUGGGUAGCUGAUGUGAGAGCAUGAUCAGCCACACGGGCACUGAGACACGGGCCCGACUCCAUACGGGAGGCAGCAGUGAGGAAUAUUGGUCAAUGGACGCAAGUCUGAACCAGCCAUGCCGCGUGAAGGAUGAAGGCGUUCUGCGUUGUAAACUUCUUUUAUUGGGGAAGAAACCUCCGUUUUCUAAUGGAGCCGACGGUACCCAACGAAUAAGCACCGGCUAACUCCGUGCCAGCCGCCGCGG
rnacentral:rRNA from 1 species